UAUAAAAUCAUACGCUGCUCUCAUAUAUUUUCGGGGAUAUGGCCUGAAAGUUUCUACCCGGUACCGUAAAUGCCGGACUAUGAGGGAGGAUGGAAUCUCG
rnacentral:ncRNA from 1 species